CCUACGGGGUGCUGCAGUGGGGAAUAUUGGACAAUGGGCGAAAGCCUGAUCCAGCCAUGCCGCGUGUGUGAAGAAGGCCUUCGGGUUGUAAAGCACUUUCAGUGGGGAAGAAAGCCUUGGGGCUAAUACCCUCGAGGAAGGACAUCACCCACAGAAGAAGCACCGGCUAACUCCGUGCCAGCAGCCGCGGUAAUACGGAGGGUGCGAGCGUUAAUCGGAAUUACUGGGCGUAAAGCGCGCGUAGGCGGUCUGAUAAGCCGGUUGUGAAAGCCCCGGGCUCAACCUGGGAACGGCAUCCGGAACUGUCAGGCUAGAGUGCAGGAGAGGAAGGUAGAAUUCCCGGUGUAGCGGUGAAAUGCGUAGAGAUCGGGAGGAAUACCAGUGGCGAAGGCGGCCUUCUGGACUGACACUGACGCUGAGGUGCGAAAGCGUGGGUAGCAAACAGGAUUAGAUACCCAAGUAGUC
rnacentral:rRNA from 1 species